UAAGGAAUAUUGGACAAUGGAGGCAACUCUGAUCCAGCCAUGCCGCGUGAAGGAAUAAGGCCCUAUGGGUUGUAAACUUCUUUUAGACGGGACAAAACCCCUUUACGUGUAAAGGGUUGAUGGUACUGUCAGAAUAAGCAUCGGCUAACUUCGUGCCAGCAGCCGCGGUAAUACGAAGGAUGCAAGCGUUAUCCGGAAUUAUUGGGUUUAAAGGGUGCGUAGGCGGACUAAUAAGUCAGUGGUGAAAGCCCGCAGCUUAACUGCAGAAUUGCCAUUGAUACUGUUAGUCUUGAGUACAGUUGAGGUAGGCGGAAUGUGUCAUGUAGCGGUGAAAUGCUUAGAUAUGACACAGAACACCGAUUGCGAAGGCAGCUUGCUAAGCUGUAACUGACGCUGAGGCACGAAAGCGUGGGGAGCAAACA
rnacentral:rRNA from 1 species